rnacentral:rRNA from 1 species
GACGAACGCUGGCGGCGUGCUUAACACAUGCAAGUCGAACGGAAAGGCCUCUUUCGGGGGGUACUCGAGUGGCGAACGGGUGAGUAACACGUGAGUAACCUGCCCUUGACUUUGGGAUAACUUCAGGAAACUGGGGCUAAUACCGGAUAGGAGCUCCUGCUGCAUGGUGGGGGUUGGAAAGUUUCGGCGGUUGGGGAUGGACUCGCGGCUUAUCAGCUUGUUGGUGGGGUAGUGGCUUACCAAGGCUUUGACGGGUAGCCGGCCUGAGAGGGUGACCGGCAACAUUGGGACUGAGAUACGGCCCAGACUCCUACGGGAGGCAGCAGUGGGGAAUAUUGCACAAUGGGUGGAAGCCUGAUGCAGCAACGCCGUGUGCGGGAUGACGGCCUUCGGGUUGUAAACCGCUUUCGCUCAUGACGAAGCUUUGUGUGACGGUAGUGGGUAAAGAAGCACCGGCUAACUACGUG